rnacentral:rRNA from 1 species
UACGGAGGGGGCUAGCGUUGUUCGGAAUUACUGGGCGUAAAGCGCGCUUCGGCGGAUCUGCAAGUCGGGGGUGAAAUCCCGGGGCUCAACCCCGGAACUGCCUUUGAUACUGGUAGUCUCGAGUCCGGAAGAGGUGAGUGGAAUUCCGAGUGUAGAGGUGAAAUUCGUAGAUAUUCGGAGGAACACCAGUGGCGAAGGCGGCUCACUGGUCCGGUACUGACGCUGAGGUGCGAAAGCGUGGGGAGCAAACAGG